AGAUUGAACGCUGGCGGCAUGCUUUACACAUGCAAGUCGAACGGCAGCGCGGGGCAACCUGGCGGCGAGUGGCGAACGGGUGAGUAAUAUAUCGGAACGUACCCAAGAGUGGGGGAUAACGUAGCGAAAGUUACGCUAAUACCGCAUACGAUCUAAGGAUGAAAGCAGGGGACCGCAAGGCCUUGUGCUCCUGGAGCGGCCGAUAUCUGAUUAGCUAGUUGGUAGGUAAAGGCCUACCAAGGCUACGAUCAGUAGCUGGUCUGAGAGGACGACCAGCCACACUGGAACUGAGACACGGUCCAGACUCCUACGGGAGGCAGCAGUGGGGAAUUUUGGACAAUGGGCGCAAGCCUGAUCCAGCAAUGCCGCGUGAGUGAAGAAGGCCGUUCGGGUUAGU
rnacentral:rRNA from 1 species